AGGCUGAUUAGUGGCGCACGGGUGAGUAAUGCAUAGAUAACAUGCCCUUUAGUUUGGGAUAGCCACUAGAAAUGGUGAUUAAUACCAGAUACUACCCUACGGGGGAAAGAUUUAUCGCUAAAGGAUUGGUCUAUGUCCUAUCAGCUUGUUGGUGAGGUAAAGGCUCACCAAGGCAAUGACGGGUAUCCGGCCUGAGAGGGUGAACGGACACACUGGAACUGAGACACGGUCCAGACUCCUACGGGAGGCAGCAGUAGGGAAUAUUGCUCAAUGGGGGAAACCCUGAAGCAGCAACGCCGCGUGGAGGAUGAAGGUCUUAGGAUUGUAAACUCCUUUUGUUAGAUGAAGAUA
rnacentral:rRNA from 1 species